UAGUAACGGCGAGUGAAGCGGGAUGAGCUCAAGCUUAAAAUCUCUGUGCAAGUUUUGCAUGGCGAAUUGUAGUCUAUAGAGGCGAUGUCAGUGCAGCUAUUUGGGGUAAGUUCCUUGGAAGAGGACAGCAUCGAGGGUGAUACUCCCGUUUGUACCCGAGUAGCUUGUGCGUACGACACGUUUUCUUUGAGUCGCGUUGUUUGGGAAUGCAGCGCAAAGUAGGUGGUAAAUUCCAUCUAAAGCUAAAUAUUGGUGCGAGACCGAUAGCGAACAAGUACCGUGAGGGAAAGAUGAAAAGAACUUUGAAAAGAGAGUUAAAGAGUACCUGAAACUGCUGAAAGGGAAUCGAAUCGUUUCCAGUGUCUAUAAUCCAUGGCAUAUUUCAUUGGCGACUUGUUGCGUGCAGUGCGUAGGAAGUAGUUUAUUCUGCUCCUUGUAUUGUUUUGCGAUGUGUUGCUGGUGCCCUGUGUCGUGGUGGGACGUCAGAGUCAGUUCGUAUGCUGCGGGAAAUGGCUGCUGAGGAGGUAGGCUGAGCGCUUGCGUUUAGCUGUUAUAUCUUGGCGUGCUAGUGGUCGUGGUUGGGACUGAGGUGCCUACAACGUGCUUUAAAGUCUUGUGGGGUCUCAUGUGAUAACGUGCUAGGAUAGCUUGCUAUGUUGGUGUGUUUAUUGUGUGAUUGAUGCUGCUUGUAACUUUUGCCGUUC
rnacentral:rRNA from 2 species